rnacentral:tRNA from 1 species
GGGUGUGUGUCUCAGUGGUAUCAUGUGUGAUCGGCACUCACAAGGCCCUGGGUUCAAUCCCCUGCACACCCA